ACAACAGAUAACAGUGUGUGUUAGUAAAUUCACAGCAACCUGAAUGUGUUUGUGGGAACAUGAAUGUGUUUGAGUGUUUCUGCAUCAUGUGACCCAGAUUUUUGGAUCUGCUGUCAGAUUGAAAUGAAGACGAUGAAACCACACAGCAGCUUCAGCUGAGCUGUCAAUCAGCAGCAGCAGUCUUAUCUGUGGGCCGCAGGGGCUGAUGGGAGCUUUGAGGACCUGUUAGAAACCACGUGGCCCUCGUCUGAUCUCACAGCUCGUCCUUGUUUGGCCUCAGCUGCAUCAGAGCGCCACUUCUCCCCAGGUUCACCAGAGGAAACACCACUGCACAAAAUGCUUUUCCUCCCAGCUGCUGCUCUGUGCUGUCUGUGUUCAGCACUGGUUACCAUGGCAGCAGAACAGCUGAUUCAGGAAGAUUUAACAUUGACCAGGAAGGUUGGAGAAAGUGUCUCCUUCAGCUGUGGAGGGACUGAACAGUGUAGCAAUAGUUAUGUACGUUGGUACCAAAAAAUAGAAACAUUCAGAAUUAUUCUGCGCAUUGAUAGAGAUGAUUGUAGCAUUUAUUCAGAUUAUGGCCAUCCUCAGAAACGAGAUUUCUCACCUGGCAACAAACUUAAUGGUUGUAAUCUAAAGAUAGAGAAAGUUAAACUCGGUCAUUCAGCCACCUACUACUGCUCCUGUUAUAAGUCUGCUCCCCACAGUGAGAAAUGAUCCCUGCAGCCUGAACAAAAACCAACAGAUGAACAGAUGUCAAACAGUGUUUGUGACAGGAAGAGAGCAGUAAACCACAGCCCAGGUUCACAGAUUUCACCUCCAUCUCAGAGUCACAAACAUACUGAGCUCAGGGAGAUUUUUAUUUACUGCUGUCAGAAAUUCAAUUCUAUUUAUUUCUGUUUUGAACAGAUUUUUCAUCAUGUUUUAAGAUAGAAACAAGAGGAACAGAUGACAUCAAACUUCCAAAUGUAAACAAAUGUAUCCUCAGUCCCACAAAAACAUUUAUUCAAAGUGAAAGAAAAACAGAUUGUGUCAAACUGAAUCAAAGUCCAUCCCUCAUUCACAGUGUUAAUGUUCUCUUCAUGAAAACUCUUCCAGCAGCACUUGUUGUUUAACACCUUUCAGUACAUUUAACCAGACACUUUCACUUUAGGACAUUUUAAAGACAAAUCUUGGACUGAUGUCAGGUCAGGAUUUUGUCCUUCUAGCAGCGGCUCAUUAGGACGCUGAUUUUGUUGGACAGAUUUCCAUCUAGUUGGUUCCCAGAUUGUCCAAACCCAGCAGGUCAUGGCCGCCCUGACCUGUUUGUGCCAGAGGUUUGUUCCCUUAAAAAUAGGGCUGCUCCUUCCCACUGUCUGCAAGUCCUGCUUAUAAGGACAUGUUCGACAAUUGGGGUUUCUGUUUAUGAUACUGAAAGGUUUUUGUUUUAAGCUCUGUUAGUCAUGCUUUAUCCUUAAAUAGAGAAUUUAGGAAACAUGUCACCCUGAACAAGCAGCUUAUAUUAAGAUAGGUGGUCUGAGCCUCUUUCAGCUUUCAGAAUAAACAUUUUGAUUUUGUUUCUGACUGAACGUAAACAGGAAGUAGAUAAAAAGCCAAGAGAAGUGUCCUGAAAGACAACCUGAGCAAACUGGUGGUUUUCCUGCAGACUGAGAAAGAAAACUGUUGCUGCAGAGUCAGACCUGCUGAUUCCACAGUUGGAGAAAUAGAAGACAAUAAAUGUGAUUCUAGUUUAGUCGUCACAGUUUGCAGACUGUCACCAUGACAUCAGUGUCAUGGUUUCUGAUCCCAGCCCAGCACUAUCAUUUGUGGUGAAGCCAGCCACUGCUGAACCUGAACAGGUAACAAACUGAUGAGGAGUCAGGCUGCAGCCUCUGUUUCUACCUGUUCAUGUUUCUUUUUUUUCUUUUUUUUUUCUUUUGUUUUUUUUUUUUGCCUGUCCCGUUUGGCUCUUUUGACAUCAGAAUUAUUCUCUAAAGGCGAAGAAAGAUGCCCAACGGAUUUACUAAAUGGACCAUCCCAGCCUUGCUGUAAUGGUCUAUUUGAUUCACCUUUUAUUGUUUAUUUUAUUUUCACUUGCUAGAUACGGGACAGACUUGAAUGAGGAAAAUAAAGGCGAGAAAGAAAGAGGGAAAGAAGAACAGCGGGGAAGAGGGACGGGGAUAAAGGGCAAAAAACAAAAAACCAACAAAAUAAGCACACGAAAAAUACAUAUAUCGAUCACCUGGAUCACCUGUUGAGAAAGAAAAAAGAGAAAACAAGCAGAAGAAAAAAGAGAGCAAUAGAAUAAACAACAUCACGAUGAUCUAUGGGAAUGUAACAGUAUAUACUAAAUAUUAAACAUUAUUGUGCAGCACGUAAGAUCGACAGCGCACAGUGUGCUUUGAGGUAGGAGCCAAAAAGGGUGUAGUUUGUGUGUGUGAGCACCCGUGUGUACACCUGUGAGCAUGGACGCGCUUGUAUUUAAAAGGUUCCUUCAUGUAAUGAUCUGCUAGAGGGUGUGGGGGGGCCACUGCCCCGUCCUCCAGGGCAUGAAGCAGGUAUGGAGGAGAUCAAAACUCCAGACAUCCAGAGGCCCCCAGAACACAAGAGACCAAGGAAGACCAACAGAGGGGCAGCCGCGCCACUAUCCCAGAAAGAGCUGAGGAGAGUCCCAGAUGAGGGGUCACUCAGCAGCCGCGGAGCAGAAGCCAGGGGGGUUGCAGUGACGUGCCCGUGAGCUCCACCGGCAGCCAGCUGCGCCAGAGUGACCGAGCCCCGGGCCGAGAGGCCGAGGGCACCCCACCCCGAGGUAGCCCGAGCGAGCCCCAGGCUCCAGGCCCCGACAAGCAGCCACCAGGAGUGAGCCGGUGUGUACCUGGACGCCCAUCCACGGACACAAAGAACCACAUACGCACCAAUGUCUGAGGGCGUCUGCCACUGGACGGGGAAGUGGUGGGGGGAGAUAGGCCUCCAAACCUUGGAGGGCCUGAGAUGUCCCCAGAGAGGUGGCGUCUGAUACCCAACCUGACAUAUAGACACAGACAUACAGGCACACACAGAUACAAACAUCCAUUCCCACCCUCAUGCUCUCAUAAGCAAUUACUCAACACUCACCCAACGUGGAGACAGACAUAAAGAGACGCUGUACACACAAUCACACUCCCCAAGCGUACUCUAAGAACCGGGUCUAGGUACCCUUGCCCCUGGAGGGGGAAACUGCACCCAGACCCAGGUGGUGUUAUCCUUUUCCCUGGGGUGGGGAGAAGCAGACCGCCCCGACUCCGCAGCAGCAGGGAGGCCCCACAUUCCAAACCCCAGUCGGACGGCCAACUCCUCCUCCUAGCCCCCCCCGCUCCAACAGGCCGCAGAGGACGGGGGUGUGAGAAGACUCCAAACCUCCCUCCACCCGCUCAUAUGUAGUGUUGAUAUAUGUGUGUUCUAAGGUGCAUUUAAAACCCAGGAGGGCAUGGAGCUACCUGCCAGAGCAGCAGGUAAGCGCAUAGCCCCUCCUGCUAGCCCUCAAUGUCUACGUGUAUUUAAAAUUGAGAGGUGGGCAACAACGCCAGGGGUGAGGUGUACACCCUGAUGGUAAUUUGGAGUCCGUGUAGCGUGCCCACCCCCAAAGGUCCUAUAUGUAUGUGUUAUGAGAGUGUGAGUAAUGUGAAUGUCUAAGUUGUGAGAUAAAAUUGAGGCAGAGGCAGCC
ensembl:lncRNA